GGGCCGGUAGAUCAGCUGGAAGAUCGCCACCUUGGCAUGGUGGAGGUCUCGGGUUCAAAUCCCGACCGGUCCA
rnacentral:tRNA from 2 species